GGGACCGGGCGCGGGCAGAGCGCGGCGGCGCGGGUGUAUUCCAGAGAAUAAGUCUUCAAACACCUUUGCCAUAUUGUCUCUGAGCUGUCAGGGGACUCAGGCUUAUGAGGAGGUACUGUCACACAAAACAGUGUCUAGUGAAGACGACAAGAAAGUGGGGAAAGGACUGGAAAAAGAAGCUAAAACACUAUAGGAAACCAUGAGAUCUAUUAGAUCUUUUGCCAAUGAUGAUCGCCAUGUAAUGGUGAAACAUUCAACAAUCUAUCCAUCUCCAGAGGAACUUGAAGCUGUUCAGAAUAUGGUGUCUACUGUUGAAUGUGCUCUUAAACAUGUCUCAGAUUGGCUUGAUGAAACAAAUAAAGGCACAAAAGCAGAGGGUGAGACAGAAGUGAAGAAGGAUGAGGCCGUAGACACCUAUUCCAAGGAUCAAGGUGGUCGGACAUUGUGUGGUGUAAUGAGGAUUGGCCUGGUUGCAAAAGGCUUGCUGAUUAAAGAUGAUAUGGACUUGGAGCUGGUUUUAAUGUGCAAAGACAAACCCACAGAGACCCUGUUAAAUACAGUCAAAGAUAAUCUUCCUAUUCAGAUUCAGAAACUCACAGAAGAGAAAUAUGAAGUGGAACAAUGUGUAGAUGAGGCUUCUAUUAUAAUUCGGAAUACAAAAGAGCCCACGCUAACUUUGAAGGUGAUACUUACUUCCCCGCUAAUUAGGGACGAAUUGGAGAAGAAGGAUGGAGAAAAGGUUGCGAUGAAAGAUCCUCCGGACUUACUGGACAGGCAGAAAUGCCUGGACGCCUUGGCGUCUCUUCGACAUGCCAAAUGGUUUCAGGCAAGGGCAAACGGAUUAAAAUCAUGUGUAAUUGUCCUCCGCAUUCUGCGUGAUUUGUGCAACAGAGUUCCCACAUGGGCACCAUUAAAAGGAUGGCCACUAGAGCUUAUAUGUGAAAAGUCUAUAGGUACUUGUAAUAGACCUUUGGGCGCUGGGGAGGCCUUGAGACGAGUAAUGGAGUGUUUGGCAUCUGGAAUACUACUUCCUGGUGGUCCUGGUCUUCAUGAUCCUUGUGAGCGAGACCCAACAGAUGCUUUGAGCUAUAUGACCAUCCAGCAAAAGGAAGAUAUUACCCACAGUGCACAGCAUGCACUCAGACUAUCAGCCUUUGGCCAGAUUUAUAAAGUGCUGGAGAUGGACCCCCUUCCAUCUAGUAAACCUUUUCAGAAAUAUUCCUGGUCAGUUACUGAUAAAGAAGGUGCCGGGUCUUCAGCUCUGAAGAGGCCAUUUGAAGAUGGAUUAGGGGAUGAUAAAGAUCCCAAUAAGAAGAUGAAACGAAACUUAAGGAAAAUUCUGGAUAGUAAAGCAAUAGACCUUAUGAAUGCACUAAUGAGGCUAAAUCAGAUCAGGCCUGGGCUUCAAUAUAAGCUCUUAUCUCAGUCUGGCCCUGUCCAUGCCCCAGUCUUCACAAUGUCUGUAGAUGUGGAUGGUACAACAUAUGAAGCCUCAGGGCCAUCCAAGAAAACAGCAAAACUUCAUGUAGCAGUGAAGGUAUUACAAGCAAUGGGAUACCCAACGGGCUUUGAUGCAGAUAUUGAAUGUAUGAGUUCCGAUGAAAAGUCAGACAAUGAAGGCAAAAAUGAAACAGUGUCUUCAAACUCAAGCAAUAAUACUGGAAAUUCUACAACUGAAACCUCCAGUACCUUAGAGGUAAGAACUCAGGGCCCUAUCCUCACAGCAAGUGGCAAAAAUCCUGUAAUGGAGCUCAAUGAAAAAAGAAGAGGUCUUAAGUAUGAACUCAUCUCGGAGACUGGUGGAAGCCAUGACAAACGCUUUGUAAUGGAGGUAGAAGUAGAUGGACAGAAAUUCAGAGGUGCAGGUCCAAAUAAGAAAGUGGCAAAGGCAAGUGCAGCUUUAGCUGCCCUGGAGAAGCUGUUUUCUGGACCCAAUGCAGCAAAUAAUAAGAAAAAGAAGAUUAUCCCUCAGGCAAAGGGUGUUGUGAAUACGGCUGUGUCUGCAGCGGUCCAAGCUGUUCGGGGCAGAGGAAGAGGAACUCUAACGAGGGGAGCUUUUGUUGGGGCUACAGCUGCUCCUGGCUACAUAGCUCCAGGCUACGGAGCACCGUAUGGUUACAGCACCGCUGCCCCUGCCUAUGGUGGUUUUUUCAUUGACAGCCCCUAUUGCCAGCCUCUGAGCGUCGCACCAUUUAUUAUUCACUUGGGCCCUCAAGAUUUCUUCUCUGACUUCUAGAACCAUCAGGUUGUCUGGCUUGAAAUGGCAAUUUCUGUCUUGGUCUUAAGAGCCUUGUGACCCCCUGAGGCUUUCCAGCUUUCAGAUACACCACUCUGACACCUUCUUUGGAAAGCGAUGACUGAGCAUUUUACAGAAGAGCAAUACUUUUAUUCAAAGCCACGGUGUCUGUUUUAAAACUUCUCCUUUGGAAACCUAGCAAUAUCUGUACUUAAGCCCUCCUAGCGUAGUCUCUUGUCCGGGAGUUUACAGACCAAUGGAGAACUUAGAAUCAGUGUGUGAGCUGUGCUAUCUUCUGACAGUUUUUUAAACUUUUUUAGCACAUAACUCGGGUAGUUGCGUUCCCGACUGCGUCAGUUAGCGCUAUUAUAAUUUCUCAGAGAUAGGGGUCCUCCUUGAAGCCAUAUUCUUUGCAUGGGGGCUGGCACCCAGCCAGGGAUGUGGCCUGCAGCCCCGGCUUCUUCCGGCUGCAGGAGCACCCCCUCUCUUGUGCAAGGUAAUUGGUCCAAUAGAUUCCCAACAUACCUCAUGCUGACUAGAUGCAGCGCAUGGUGCGUGCAGCAAGGAGUCCUGAGUCGUUUGUAGUCGCACAGAAAUCGUUAACCUGGGAACAAACCACUGAUAGAUUUUUCUGCUAUUAGCCUUUCCUUCUUUUUUUAAAAUUUGGGUGAAUGUUUGAAAAUCAUGAAUCAGUCAGUCACCGUUAUUAAUUGAAGAGCUGGGAAUACCUCGUUAAUGUAUUUUUAAAACUGGUGUUGGGCCCUCUGUGUAUUUCAGGUUAAUACUUUUAAGCAGUUUUCAGCACGUUUAUCUCACUUUAUUCUCGUUCUCCUCGGACCUUCGUAGCCAUAUCACUUGUAUAAAAUAGGCUGAGAUCUAGUGACUGUAAGCUGUGGUCUCAGUAAACAAAGUUUUGAGAGCCUGAAACCAACUCUGUUUUAUGUUCCUGGACCUCUCUCCAAGUAAGUGAAUGCAUUGAAAUGAAAAACAAUUAUUCCAGUCCUUUUUAAGCAGUUUUUAUAGUAUAGCAAAGACCAAAGUGGUUGCUGUAAACACUGACCACAUUUUUUUGACGACAAGUGAGGGGAGUUUUACCCUUACAAUCAAUCGUUCAUUAUAACUUGCCUGUUUAUUAGAUUUCUUUAAUAACUGCAGUGGAGGUAAAUGUUCAAUAGUGAGUUAGGGACACAAACUAAGACUUGCAGAUGCGCCUUCACCCUUUCCCCCAGCAGUUGGAUUUCUAGUAGUCGAGGGCCCUAAAAACUAGGGACAUUAAGAGCAGUUAAAGCUGAAAACAACCUGCUCUGUGAAUGGUCCUCCUGUACCUCCCACUCAGCACAGGCCAGUGCAUCCUCGGUGGUGGGGAGCAGGAUGUAGCAUGUCUCUGAAGUCCUCAGAGCAAGAAAGGUUCUGAUGCCACGCCAUGCGGUGACCAUAGGUCUCUCAGUGUCUGAAGGAGGCCUGGCAGGGAGACGGGCAGUAAAUGAAUAACAGCUGCAGAGUCCAGAAACUGCCUGCUGCUGGGGUGAGUUUCAGUCUGAUGUUUCUCUCUAGCAGUUACUUCCAGGGCACAAACUAGUACUUUUUAUGUAAGAGUGAGUCUCUUCCCUUCCUCAUCCCAUCUUCCAGAAAGACUGUUUUAAGUCAAGAAUUCAAGUUGAGUUAGUUGUAAGAAUAGAGAUCCUUUCCCACAUUAUCAUUUUAGGUAGGAGCUAACAGCUUCCAUUGAUACUUGAAGCAGUGAUCUUUGGAGAUUU